rnacentral:tRNA from 1 species
UAUGGCAGCUUAGUGCAAAGGUUUUAAAAUCCUUACAUAAAGAAAUUUCUUUUAUUAAAA